UACGUAGGGUGCAAGCGUUAAUCGGAAUUACUGGGCGUAAAGCGUGCGCAGGCGGUUAUGUAAGACAGUUGUGAAAUCCCCGGGCUCAACCUGGGAACUGCAUCUGUGACUGCAUAGCUAGAGUACGGUAGAGGGGGAUGGAAUUCCGCGUGUAGCAGUGAAAUGCGUAGAUAUGCGGAGGAACACCGAUGGCGAAGGCAAUCCCCUGGACCUGUACUGACGCUCAUGCACGAAAGCGUGGGGGAUCAAACAGG
rnacentral:rRNA from 1 species